GACGAACGCUGGCGGCGUGCUUAACACAUGCAAGUCGAACGGUAAGGCCCUUCGGGGUACACGAGUGGCGAACGGGUGAGUAACACGUGGGUGAUCUGCCCUGCACUUCGGGAUAAGCCUGGGAAACUGGGUCUAAUACCGGAUAGGACCACUGCCUGCAUGGGUGGUGGUGGAAAGCUUUUGCGGUGUGGGAUGGGCCCGCGGCCUAUCAGCUUGUUGGUGGGGUGAUGGCCUACCAAGGGGACGACGGGUAGCCGGCCUGAGAGGGUGACCGGCCACACUGGGACUGAGAUACGGCCCAGACUCCUACGGGAGGCAGCAGUGGGGAAUAUUGCACAAUGGGCGCAAGCCUGAUACAGCGACGCCGCGUGAGGGAUGACGGCCUUCGGGUUGUAAACCUCUUUCAGCACCGACGAAGCGCAAGUGACGGUAGGUGCAGAAGAAGGACCGGCCAACUACGUGCCAGCCGCCGCGGUAA
rnacentral:rRNA from 1 species